rnacentral:lncRNA from 1 species
UUUCACUCCUCACAUAUUGAAUGCUUCAGUUUCAGAUGAGAACGUCACCCCAUUCAAUCCAAUAGAUUUUAUAGAAAGCAUAUUAGACUACGGCGACGAAGAGAUUCCAACUCUGAAUCCAUAAAACAGAUUUGGUGAUUUCAGCAACCCUCUUUGGAGACAUCGACAUCCAAUUUUGGUGGUUUCAUCAAUAGCCGCCAAAGGAUUGAAGCACAUAUUAUAGAUGAGAGAGAGAAAACACACCGGAGGGACCCCGGUAAUCCAGAUAGGGCUUUUUUGGAUGGGAAUAUGAAGAAUUUGAUCAAGUGAUGUUAAAGGCGCUGGUAUUCUCUCUACCCUUUCUACAACUGUUGAUGUGCCAGUCAACCUGUUUGUCAAGAAAUCAUCUACCGUUUUAAGUGUUAGUUGAUGAAUAAUUGCAGUUAAAUUAAAAGAGAGUUUUAGAACUAUGUUUGCUAUUAUUCAUACAGUGUUCUAUGACCAUGGCCUAAUGAAAAUUAGGUGAUACGUUUGAACCUGCAUUUUAUAAAAUAUUCAAAUAUUUUAGGACAUAUAUGUGGUCGCCAAACAGAUCAAGGAAUUAUAUGUAUAAUAUCAACCAGCUGAACAGGGGAGAUGCAAACAUCAGUGCAAUUACUAAUUCAAUCAAGAUUGAAAUCAAUUCUUCCCCACGAAACUGAAAUCAAUUACUGAUAUCAUCAAUAAGGCUUGAUGGAUGAAACUGAUAUCACACCAAAAGCCACCAAAACCCUACUAUUUCAAUCCCAUAAAUCCGAUCAAUUCUCCCUCUCCAGGACUUGGACCAGCCGAUCGAUUAUCUCUUCUGGAAGUGACACAGUUCCUCUAAUAAAAAAGAUGUUAGUAUAAAGAUAUCACGCAGUUUUAGGGGGUGUUUGGAUGCACCAUUAAAUUGAUAAUGGUUGUUUGGAGUUGCAAUUAUCAGUCUUGAGAACUCUACAUGGUGUUGCUUCCUGCUGGAACUUUCAGUUCAGGUGAGCUUUCUAUUUUUACUAUUCAAACCCAACCACUUUAUGUGGUGCAUUUUUAUGUUUUAGAACUUAAAAUAUAAAAAAUAAUCCCAUAUUAUUGUAUUUGUUGGACCUUUAUUCUGGGCAUACGGACUCCGGAAUAUCCAACUCAAGUGUUUCAGUGAAGUCCGGGGGGUGCUAACCCUGGAUUGUGAGCCUAAACGUAUUAGGACCAGGGUUUCAAGCUUAUUUUGGACUCAACCCGGCCUAGGAGUGGGCUUGCGGAAAAUAUGUAGGACUAAUGGACAUUUAGGCUAAAGCAUGCCAUUUUGAGUUCGUUUGGCCUUUUCUUUAACCUGUCUCGGGUUUUAACAAUUGAAGAUGCACCAGACGCUUUGUACCGUUGCCGUGGCAGAUCUGCGUUCAAGUUCUUGUUGUAGACCAAAAAAACUAGAAGUUAAUCAAUCAAUUUUAGGAGAGGAUGAAGAUGUGACUCUAACCUAUGAAGAGCCUCCUACUCGGCCUAAACAUGAAGCUGAGAUUACAGGAAGAUUUCCCAGCACUACUUCAUUGUGUGUCCAGCAUAUACACAUCUGGCAAGAACGAUAGUAUUAUGACUGAACGUGACACUAAUGAAAGAAACUAACAUAAAGUUCGGGGGAAAACAAGUUUCGUUUGUUUUUGGGUGGAAACCAUGUUCACGCAUAGCUUAAAGGGUCUAAUUCAGGUCAGCCCGCAAUGUUAUACAUUUUCUUUAACGGACCGUCCAUAAUCUUGAACAUUGUUCAAAGCCAUGUCGGUGUUGAGACCAUUAUGAUGGAUAAUCUCCUCAAGCCGACAACGGAAACGCUCACGACGCCAUAUCACGUUUCAACGAGAUGAUUCGCAUCGGUCUGACGCCAGACGAGGUGACGUUUCUCGGCGUUCUGUCAGCUUGUUGCCAUGGCAGUUUGGUACACGAGGAUCGUGAAAUUUUCACCCAAAUGACAUCGAAGUUCAACGUUUUGCCGAAAUGUAAACACUACUCGUGUAUGCUAGACCUUCUUGGUCGGGCUGGGUUGCUGAACGAAGCCGAAGAGGUUAUAAACAACAUGCCGAUUAAACCGGAUGACGGUGUGUGGGGAGCGUUGUUUUUUGCGUGCAGGAUUCAUAAUAACAUUGAGAUGGGUGAACGGGCGGGGUUUAAGCUUCUUGAACUGGACCCGAGUGACGAUGGGAUUUAUGUGUUGUUAGCGAGUAUGUAUUGGGAAGCGAUGAUGUUCGAGAAGUCGAUGUAAGUGAGGAAGUUGAUGAGGAUACGAGGGGUAGAUAAGACGCCUGGUUGCAGUUCGGUUGAGAUUAAUGGACGCGUUUUUGAGUUUCUAAUUAGAGACAAAUCGCACCCUCAAAAUCGAGAAAUUAGUGAAGUCUUGGUUCAUUUGAUGAAACAACUUGUUGGUUUUGAAGAUUUAGAUUGUCAAUUCGUUCUACUGUCAAGUGCUUAGUUAAAUGGCAUCAACUGCACCUGCAAGUAAAUCAGCAAGAAAUAUCGAGAUUUACAACAUUCAAGCACCUUACUAGCGUUAUCUUUUCUAGAGGUGGUAAAGUAGAUGGGUUGGGCUGGGCUGGUCGGACCUGAAACAUGAGGCUGCUGCAAAGUUGCAAAACCAAAACGUUCAUAAAAGCUUUCGGACGCGAAGAAAGCUGGUAGAUUGUGCAGUUUUAGUUAAACAAAGCUGGUUAGUAACACUUGUAUGGGGAUCUCUUAUUUUGCUAAUGCAGUGUUUUUGUGAUUGUUGGAUUCUGUAGAACUCAAUAGAAGUUCUAUAUCAUUUUUCCAUAUUCGUAAACAUGAAUCCGCUAUAUCACGUUCGGACAGAGCAAAAACAAGAGCUGCCAAGGUUGGGAAAGGGUUAUUAAAGAAUUGUUAUGCCCAGAAGCUUGCUUUGCAGCAUUGGCUUGAGGCGGUAGUGGAAACCGUGGUUUUACAUGAUUUUUCUAACAUUGUUUAUAUCUCAUCUCUUUUUAACUGGUAGCAUUGUAAGAAACUUAAAAUAUCAGUUUCAACAUAUAUGAUUUUAUAAAAAUUAAAAUGUACAGAACUGCAUUAAAUAGAAAUCGAAACUGCAGUAGAGGUGGUGGGGGUUCUGGAUCACAAGUGAUGUUUAUGUUUGUAAUGAAAAUUAAUUACUUUGUUGAAUUUUACCCUUCACAACAACAAAUGAAUGUAAGGAUUCUAUCAUGAGAUGUCCAAAAUGUUAAUUAAAAGUUUAUUCUUACUGUUACUCUGGUAUUUUUAUUGUUAUUAUUUUUUGAAUCACUAUUUUUAUUGUUAAAAAUUUAAUCUCUGGGAUUUGAACCCAAAAUCUCCCCUUCCCAAACCUUUGUGUUUAAACCUUUUGACUUUGCCAAUUGACCACCGCCCUAUUAAGAGAUUUAAAUGUGAUUACAAAAAUCUUUGUAUAAU